GAUGAACGCUGGCGGCGUGCCUAAUACAUGCAAGUCGAGCGAACAGACGAGGAGCUUGCUCCUCUGACGUUAGCGGCGGACGGGUGAGUAACACGUGGAUAACCUACCUAUAAGACUGGGAUAACUUCGGGAAACCGGAGCUAAUACCGGAUAAUAUAUUGAACCGCAUGGUUCAAUAGUGAAAGACGGUUUUGCUGUCACUUAUAGAUGGAUCCGCGCCGCAUUAGCUAGUUGGUAAGGUAACGGCUUACCAAGGCAACGAUGCGUAGCCGACCUGAGAGGGUGAUCGGCCACAUUGGAACUGAGACACGGUCCAGACUCCUACGGGAGGCAGCAGUAGGGAAUCUUCCGCGAUGGGCGAAAGCCUGACGGAGCAACGCCGCGUGAGUGAUGAAGGUCUUCGGAUCGUAAAACUCUGUUAUUAGGGAAGAACAAAUGUGUAAGUAACUAUGCACGUCUUGACGGUACCUAAUCAGAAAGCCACGGCUAACUACGUG
rnacentral:rRNA from 1 species